CUACUCACUUCGGCGGUACAUAUACUAAAAUUGAAACGACACAGAGACGAUUAGCAUAGCUCCUGCGCAUGGAUGACACGCAAAAUCGUGAAGCGUUCCAUAUUUUU
rnacentral:snRNA from 1 species